AGUGAACGCUGGCGGUAGGCCUAACACAUGCAAGUCGAACGGCAGCACAGUAAGAGCUUGCUCUUACGGGUGGCGAGUGGUGGACGGGUGAGGAAUACAUCGGAAUCUACUUUUUCGUGGGGGAUAACGUAGGGAAACUUACGCUAAUACCGCAUACGACCUACGGGUGAAAGCAGGGGAUCUUCGGACCUUGCGCGAUUGAAUGAGCCGAUGUCGGAUUAGCUAGUUGGCGGGGUAAAGGCCCACCAAGGCGACGAUCCGUAGCUGGUCUGAGAGGAUGGUCAGCCACACUGGAACUGAGACACGGUCCAGACUCCUACGGGAGGCAGCAGUGGGGAAUAUUGGACAAUGGGCGCAAGCCUGAUCCAGCCAUACCGCGUGGGUGAAGAAGGCCUUCGGGUUGUAAAGCCCUUUUGUUGGGAAAGAAAAGCAGCAGGUUAAUACCCCGCUGUUCUGACGGUACCCAAAGAAUAAGCACCGGCUAACUUCGUG
rnacentral:rRNA from 1 species